rnacentral:lncRNA from 1 species
AUGGCCGGUCAGUCACAGGUGAUCCAGCAGCUGCUGCAGGCCGAGAAGCAGGAUGCCAAGAAGGUGUCUGGGGCCCACAAGCAAAAGAACCAGAGGCUGAAGCAGCCCAAAGGAGCAGCUUAGGCUGAAAUUGAACAGCACUGCCUGCAGAAGGAGAAAGAGUUCAAGGCCAAGGAAGCUGCAGCACUAGGAUCUCGCAGACCCAGGAUAACCAUCCUCCAGACCUACUUCCAGCAGAACAGGGAAGAAGUCUUAGAUAACCUUUUGGCCUUUGUCUGCAGCAUCCAGCCAGAAAUCCCUGAAAACUAUCGCAUAAGUAGAUAUUAA